rnacentral:rRNA from 1 species
ACGCUCGACACCUACGGGAGACAGCAGUGGGGAAUAUUGCACAAUGGGGGAAACCCUGAUGCAGCGACGCCGCGUGAAGGAAGAAGUAUCUCGGUAUGUAAACUUCUAUCAGCAGGGAAGAAAGUGACGGUACCUGACUAAGAAGCCCCGGCUAACUACGUGCCAGCAGCUGCGGUAAUCUGAGCGGGCUGGCAAGGC